UGGGGAAUAUUGCACAAUGGACGGAAGUUUGAUGCAGCGACGCCGCGUGGAGGGUGUAGGCCUUCGGGUUGUGAACUCCUUUUUCCCGCGAAAAAGGCACAGUUUUGGCUGUGUUGAUGGUAGCGGGGGAAGAAGCGCCGGCUAACUACGUGCCAGCAGCCGCGGUAAUACGUAGGGCGCGAGCGUUGUCCGGAUUUAUUGGGCGUAAAGAGCUCGUAGGUGGUUCGUCGCGUCUGUCGUGAAAGCCAGCAGCUUAACUGUUGGUCUGCGGUGGGUACGGGAGGGCUUGAGUGCGGUAGGGGUGGCUGGGAUUCCUGGUGUAGCGGUGGAAUGCGCAGAUAUCAGGGAGAACACCGAGGGCGAAGGCAGGUCACUGGGCCGUUACUGACACUGAGGAGCGAAAGCGUGGGGAGCGAACAGG
rnacentral:rRNA from 1 species